rnacentral:lncRNA from 1 species
UGACCUGGACAUAUCAGCAACGUCAUAAUGUUUGAACCGACGUUGAUAAGUUUGACCCGAACUUAUCAAGUCAACUUCUGGUUGCUGGUGAAACGAAGACAAUACUUCCAAAAGACGCAAAUACAGCCCGAUAAAUCGAUUAUCAGGUUAUCGGCAUAUUAAUAUUGUAAAAUAUCAGCUGCUCAACAUAAUAUGAAGGCUUUUUGAUCUCGUUGGCUGCUCUUACUCGACAAAAAGCUUCAUAUUAUGUCUC